GGGCGGGACCGCGGCCUUGCGCGAGGGCGACGGCGGAAGCGGGCGCCGUGGGAGGGGGUCUGUCGCCAUGGCGACCGCAGCGGAGGGGCUGCCCGAGGCCGACGCGCAGCCCGCCAAGCAGGAUCCUGCUGUUGAAACAGCAGAGGAAGCUAAGGAACCAGCAGAAGCGGACAUCAAUGAGCUCUGUAAAGAUAUGUUCAGCAAAAUGGCCACUUACCUAACAGGUGAACUGACAGCCACCAGUGAAGACUACAAGCUCUUGGAAAACAUGAACAAGUUGACUAGCUUGAAGUACCUAGAAAUGAAAGAUAUUGCUAUAAACAUCAGUAGAAAUCUGAAGGAUUUAAAUCAAAAAUAUGCUGCUCUUCAGCCAUAUCUGGAACAAAUCAACCUAAUUGAGGAGCAGGUUGCAGCUCUGGAACAGGCAGCUUAUAAAUUGGAUGCAUAUUCCAAAAGACUUGAAGCCAAGUACAAAAAACUGGAGAAACGAUGAAAUUGCAACAGUCGUUAAAUUGGAGUUGGGCUGUGGGUCAGACUGAUCUCUGAGUUGCACAGCAUCAGUUUUAUAUGUUGACAAGGAUUUGGUAACAGCUAACAUAAGACUGAUAACAUGCCAAUCAAGUACUGGAUACAAAAUGGAACGUGACACAGACAGGCUCUAUACUGUAAUGGCAGCAUGCUGGCAAUUACGUGCAAGUCAGCUCUUUUAUCAGAUGCGUACCAUGUUCUCACACCCUGUGGAGACAAACCAAGUUGGGUACAGAACUGAAUACAGAUUUGCAAGAUGGCCACAAGAGGGUGAUGUUUCAUCAGAGAAAACUUCCAUAAGAUAAAGCAGUUAACAGAAAGGAAGUACCAGUAUUGCGUUAAAACUAUUGCUUUUCUACUUGAAGAAAAAGCUGCGCUGUUUUAAAAUUACAAAGAUGAAAAACUCCAGGAACUCUGAAGAUGGGAACCCAUCUAGCUAUGCGUUGCACCAUGUGGCAUUUCCUGGUGCAGAAGAUAAUAAGAAAAUAGUAGAUGCUUGAAGGAAGAACAUGGAAGACCACAGAGGAAAGAGGGUUGACAGAUGAGAACCAAGGGACCAAGUAUUUCAUUAAAGUGAUCUGUGCAACUGCUUUGAAGCUGAAAGCAGUUCUUGACAAGUUGAACUGUAACUGCAAACCAGGGGAUAAAACUUGGCCUAGCAACUACAGCAAAUAUAGCUCUUUAAGCAGAAAUAGGUCAGAUCCAGAAGAGUUUUUUUUCUCCAGAACACUUGAGGCAAUUCUGCCCAGCUGCUCUGACAGGUUUUUCAGAAGUUGGGUUCAACUGUCAGAAUAAUACUUUGUGUAGAUGUCCAAAAAAAUUCAGGAUGGGGUCUUUAGUCGUUAGUGGAAACUACAACGUGUUCAACAGCUGAAAUAUAGCUCUUCUAUGUUAGAGUAUGCUUUUUAACCUGGAACUUUGUGAUCACUGGAGAUGUUUAAUGUUACCAAACUGGACAGGAGUUAUCCAGUAUUGGCCUGUAGCUAAAUAUAUUACGUGUGCAGUGUUGCACCUGAGGGCGAACAUACAAGAAAAAAAAAAAAGCAGUAAGUAGAGAACAAACAUUCUACGAAAGUAUGAUGAGUUUUGUUAACGAGAGAUUUGUUAAUGAUUACUGUUUGUCCCUGCUUUCUGAUAUUACAGUAGAAUAAAGCAGAACCUUGACAGAGGUCACAAAAAAUUUAAAAAAUAAAGCAGUUCAUCCAAGUUUGCCAGCAACUGCUGAUUUUAUCUAACCAGUUAUGUUUAAUCCAGAGGAGGCAGAAGCUAUUGAUUGCCUUUGCACUUUUUUUUUUUUGUUUUGUUUUGGUUUUUUAAUUUAUUUUUUAAACCAUAGCAUACACAAAUGCUGAUUUCCAGGAUGUAGCAUCGAGUCCUCCUUUGAUCCAGCAUCCCUUUUUCAUGUCGCAAUGGAACCCCUGGGAUCCACAACUAUUUUCUUACUGUUUGCGUUGUUGGUCUCCUCAUCUCUUCAGUCUGCAUGGAGGAAGAUGUCUGAAGCAGGGAAGUUGCCUCCUGAGCCAUUUGUUUUGCCCUUCAUAAGAAACAUAUUAACUAGACCUGAAGAAUAACUUGCCUUAGUCUUCAGAAGAGGUCAAGGGAGUUUGCAGGAUUUGAGGGGUCCAGUGGUGCACAUUAAGCAGAGCCUGGUCCAGUGAUUAAAAAACUUGGGACUGUAUUGCAGUUCUAAUAAUACGGGUAUAUUUUUUAAGUUAAAUUAUGUUUGUUCAGAGACUGAUCAGUUGUUGACGGCAGUGCACUCCCUCUGUUGGAUAUCUCAUCCGCAGGUACUCCAGAAGAGCCCUUCUCAGGCAUGUUCUGAGCCACUGCUGAGUUUCUAAACUACGUGUUGGAAAAAAAAAAAGAUACUGUGAGCUACAUGGUGCCUUUUUUACUGUGGUGAUUUUCAUCUAUCGCUAUUUUUUUUUUAAUUCACUAGUGCCAUGCAUUUUCCUCUGAGAGUUAUUGUGGGUCGGUUUAUUUUUCUUUUGGUGAUUACCUUAUUUGUAUUAAUGAAAGCUUUAAGAAAACCUUGAACAGUGGAGCAGGAUAGGCAGCAACCAAAGGCUUAUCUUCAGCUCUGUAGCUGAACCUGUGUCUGUGUCCUAACCAAUUUGUUUAUGCUUACAUGUACCUAAAAGAUCAGCUUGUGGAAUGACUGCGACAGCGUUGCCCACCUGCUCCUAGGCAUACAUGCCCGAGAUGCAGAGCUGUCUCACGCACAGCUUGUAUAAAGGAUUACAACCGAAGAAACAAGAGCAUUGAUAGAGCAAAAAAUGUCACCAUUCUUUCCUGCUUUGACUCAUUAGAGCUGACAAAAUAGAAAUGAAGGAAUGAAAAAUACUCCGUGACUGUGAGGUUGGUACAUGAAUAAGCACCAAGUAGUUCAUAAGGACUGCAAAGAAAAAUGUGGAUGGACCAGUUCGCCAACUGACAAUAUAAAUCUCAGAAAAGCCCUGUUCAGCUGAUUGAAACCAACUGCAUGACACAAAUUCUGUCAUACAAGAAGUUCUACUCAUUUGUGCCACUGAAUGUCCCCCAUGCUACAAUAAAAAUGUACAGCUCAGACUGUAUCUCCUCCAUUA